rnacentral:rRNA from 1 species
GACAGAGGGCUCAAACGUUGUUCGGAAUUACUGGGCGUAAAGGGCGCGUAGGCGGCCUUCUAAGUCGAACGUGAAAUCCCCGGGCUCAACCCGGGAACUGCGUCCGAGACUGGAAGGCUCGAAUCCGGGAGAGGGAUGUGGAAUUCCAGGUGUAGCGGUGAAAUGCGUAGAUAUCAGGAGGAACACCGGUGGCGAAGGCGCUCAUCUGGCCCAAUACUGACGCUGAGGCGCGAAAGCUAGGGGAGCAAACGGG